rnacentral:rRNA from 1 species
GACGAACGCUGGCGGCGUGCUUAACACAUGCAAGUCGAACGGAAAGGCCUCUUUCGGGGGUACUCGAGUGGCGAACGGGUGAGUAACACGUGAGUAACCUGCCCUUGGACUUUGGGAUAACUUCAGGAAACUGGGGCUAAUACCGGAUAGGAGCUCCUGCUGCAUGGUGGGGGUUGGAAAGUUUCGGCGGUUGGGGAUGGACUCGCGGCUUAUCAGCUUGUUGGUGGGGUAUGGCUUACCAAGGCUUUGACGGGUAGCCGGCCUGAGAGGGUGACCGGCCACAUUGGGACUGAGAUACGGCCCAGACUCCUACGGGAGGCAGCAGUGGGAAUAUUGCACAAUGGGUGGAAGCCUGAUGCAGCAACGCCGUGUGCGGGAUGACGGCCUUCGGGUUGUAACCGCUUUCGCUCAUGACGAAGC